rnacentral:rRNA from 1 species
CCUACGGGUGGCAGCAGUGAGGAAUAUUGGUCAAUGGGCGUAAGCCUGAACCAGCCAAGUCGCGUGAGGGAUGAAGGUUCUAUGGAUCGUAAACCUCUUUUAUCAGGGAAUAAAGUGUGGGACGUGUCCUGUUAUGUAUGUACCUGAUGAAUAAGGAUCGGCUAACUCCGUGCCAGCAGCCGCGGUAAUACGGAGGAUCCGAGCGUUAUCCGGAUUUAUUGGGUUUAAAGGGUGCGUAGGCGGACUUUUAAGUCAGCGGUGAAAGUCUGGGGCUAAACCCUAGGAUUGCCGUUGAAACUGGAAGGCUUGAGUAGGUGAGAGGCAGGCGGAAGGCGUGGUGUAGCGGUGAAAUGCUUAGAUAUCACGCAGAACCCCGAUUGCGAAGGCAGCCUGCC